UACAGAGGGUGCAAGCGUUGUUCGGAAUUAUUGGGCGUAAAGGGCGUGUAGGCGGUCUGCUAAGUCAUGUGUGAAAUCCCUCGGCUUAACCGAGGAACGACGCAUGAAACUGGCAAGCUAGAGUACCAAAGAGGGGGGUGGAAUUCCCGGUGUAGCGGUGAAAUGCGUAGAUAUCGAGAGGAACACCUGCGGCGAAGGCGGGUUGCUGGGCUGACACUGACGCUGAGGCGCGAAAGCUAGGGGAGCGAACGGG
rnacentral:rRNA from 1 species